ensembl:lncRNA
AAUUUUUCCACCUUCACUUUACUCCACCUCAACCUUACACCACCUUCACGCUCUCCACCUUCACUUUACUCCGUCUUCACUCUCUCCACCUUCACUUUACUCCGCUUUACUUGUUUGCCUGAGUCUUGUGUUUGACUCUCAGUCGUGUGAAAAAAUGUGUUAAACAAAGGCGGUUCAUUUUCAGGAUGAAUGGAGAUGAAUUUUCUUAGUGAAGCACAGACACAAUAGCACAAUAACAUUAAUGCAAUAAUGUUUAUUGUACGAGUCAACUCCGUGUUGAUUUUUUUGUAAUAAACAAUUUUAGUAAACAGUUUUUUUUUUUAAUAGAGUGCUGAGAAAUAUUAUUUCGGUCAUUUGAAUAAGAUUUCAUGGAACAAUUUCAACCAUAGUUAGGCAGAGACAAACAGUCAAUGGUCAUAAUAUUGCAAAGAAAAGAAAAAAAAAAAAAAAACCAGUAAUGAAUCAUUUGGGAGUCGACUCUUCUCGGUGACUCACUGAGAAAAAUCAGAAUUCCAAUCAUUACUCAGAACCGACGUGUCUGAUUUAUACCACGCCGCAGUCAUGUGACAUAUCGUUGAUGAAUUCAUUUGUGCGAAUGUGGGAGGUGAAGCUAAUGAACCAGGAACCCGGUGUAGACAGACAAACGGAUAUAUAGAUCAUCCUGAACGGAACCGAAUUAAGACAAACGACUCAGAACCCAAUCACUCCCACCGACAAUAUGCUCAUCAGUCUUCACUGUUUACAUUUAUACUGAUUAUCUGUGUCGUGUGUCGUGCAUGAAUAAUUAUUUACUCCCCUUUUACCAAUAAACUCCAUGCACAAGACCAAAAUCUUUCCAGAAUCCCUCUUCAUCUAUCUAAAGUUAGCAUUCUUCUGUCAUUUCCUCUAUUUUUUAUAAAUAAAUGGUUGAAACCUGUGAAUUUUUUUGCCCCGGAUCCGUCGCUCUUAAUAACACCGACCCGCCGUAUCGCUCCAAUCGGUUCUCUAUCGCCUGUUUAGGGAACAGAGAGAAACCGCAGCUUUAUUUGAGGAACGAUCGAGCGCGGGUUCGAUCACUGUCUGCCAGAUUUACCCGGAGAGUUUACUGUUGGUUUAUCCUGUGAUUAAUGAGCUCUGUUUCUGUUCUGUUGUUAGUUUUAUUUAAGUAAAAUAAGAAUCAAUCAGGUUCAGAGGAGAAGAGCGAAGCGAGGACGAGGGAAACCUGAUUUAACGGGCUCGCUUUGAUAAACACGUCAAUCAGGAAAUUAGCGGAAGGUAGCAGGAUGUAGAGCGGUGGGCUUUGUGGGUUACAGGUGGGCGUGGCUUCGAGUUUAGACAAGAUUUGUUCGUUUUAAGAUGACUAUCUUUAUUCCCCUGUACGAAAGAUAAUUCCUUCUCAGAGCUACUAUGACAUGCCCACAUUCCAGUUUAUAACAUUUAGGUGCACGCCCACUCAGAGCUACUAUGACACGCCUACAUCCCAGUCUAUAACCUUUAGGUGCACGCCCACUCAGAGCUACUAUGACACUCCUACAUCCCAGUCUAUAACCUUUAAGUGCACGCCCACUCAGAGCUACUAUGACACGCCCACAUUCCAGUUUAUAACCUUUAGGUGCACGCCCACUCAAAGCUACUAUGACACGCCCACAUUCCCCUCUAUAGUUAUUGAGGUUAAUGUUAUGGUUAAAGGUAAGUCACUGCAAAUACCACAAAGAUAGAACAUGUGUGUGUGUGUGUGUGUUUGUGUGUGAGUGUGUGUGUGUGUGUGUGUGUGUGUUCUAUCACAGAGGUGCUAAUGGCUCUGUAUGGUUUUCUCUCCAACCACACAUUCUUCCCACAAGGAAUCCAUUAGCGUUCAGUUACCUACCACUAAUGCACUACCACCUCUUAACUUCUCUCUCAUGAUGUGUGUGUGUGUGUGUGUGUGUGUGUGUGUUUCAGUUACAGAAUGAUAAUGGCACUCUGUGAUUGAAUAUGACACUAAAUUCCCGAGUUGUAGCCUCAUUGGGUUUAGCCGUGGUCAGAGUGUGAGAGGUAUUGGUCUAAAGUGUGUCACACACACACACACACACUUUGCACUAAGUCUCCUGAGUCAGGAAAGUGUGAGAUCUGACUAGAUUCUGUUGAAACUCCCAUCGAGAGGUGUGUGUGUGUGUGUGUGUGUGUGUGUGUGUGUGUGUGUGUGUGUGUGUGUGUAGUUUUCCGCUCUGUAUUAGUGACAGUGAUGAACGGAAAGCUUAAUCGAGCUGGUCACUGAAAUGUUGAAGCUACACUUCUCCUCUUAUUAGUGUUAGAAAGGCGUUGUGUGUGUGUGUGUGUGUGUGUGUGUGUGUGUGUGUGUGUGUGUGUGUGUUGAAUAUUGUGUUUAGACCUUUGUAUUGAUGGGACACGUCCACUGUGACCUGAUUAUGAGGAGACAUUUAUAAUGAUGUUUAGGUGCCCUAUAUAGUGGUUCAGGACACAUCCCCAGUGGACUGAUGAUAACAGAUGCUGUAGUGAUGCAUAUGCAGCCUAUGUAGUAGAUAGACUGUGUCGAUUGGGACACAUCCAUAGUGACCCAAUGAUAGUAAGAUAUUUAUAAUGAUGUUUAAGUGCCCUGUAUAGUGAGUUGGAAAACACCCGUGGUGAGUUAAUGUUGUUUGUAUUGAUGUUCAUAUGGC